UACGUAGGGAGCAAGCGUUGUUCGGAUUUACUGGGCGUAAAGGGUGCGUAGGCGGACUGUUAAGUCAGUGGUGAAAGCUCCAUGCCUAACAUGGAAAAUGCCAUUGAUACUGACGGUCUUGAGUACAUUUGAAAUGGGCGGAAUGUGUCAUGUAGCGGUGAAAUGCUUAGAUAUGACACAGAACACCGAUUGCGUAGGCAGCUCACUAAACUGUAACUGACGCUGAGGCACGAAAGCAUGGGGAGCAAACAGG
rnacentral:rRNA from 1 species